GAUGAAGAACGCAGCGAAAUGCGAUAAGUAGUGUGAAUUGCAGAAUUCAGUGAAUCAUCGAAUCUUUGAACGCACAUUGCGCCCCUUGGUAUUCCAUGGGGCAUGCCUGUUCGAGCGUCAUUUAUCAACCCUCAAGCCCGGCUUGCGGUUGGGUCCCGCCGUGGGCGACCACGGCGGACCCGAAAGGUAAUGGCGGUGCCCGUGGGGCCCUGGACGCAGCGAGCUUCUCGGCACGCGUCCCGGCGGUCCCCGGCGCCGUCUCCACCAAUCCACCACGCAGAUUGACCUCGGAUCAGGUAGGGAUACCCGCUGAACUUAAGCAUAUCAAUAAGCGGAGGA
rnacentral:misc_RNA from 1 species